GACGAACGCUGGCGGCGUGCUUAACACAUGCAAGUCGAACGGAAAGGCCCUGCUUUUGUGGGGUGCUCGAGUGGCGAACGGGUGAGUAACACGUGAGUAACCUGCCCUUGACUUUGGGAUAACUUCAGGAAACUGGGGCUAAUACCGGAUAGGAGCUCCUGCUGCAUGGUGGGGGUUGGAAAGUUUCGGCGGUUGGGGAUGGACUCGCGGCUUAUCAGCUUGUUGGUGGGGUAGUGGCUUACCAAGGCUUUGACGGGUAGCCGGCCUGAGAGGGUGACCGGCCACAUUGGGACUGGGAUACGGCCCAGACUCCUACGGGAGGCAGCAGUGGGGAAUAUUGCACAAUGGGCGGAAGCCUGAUGCAGCAACGCCGCGUGCGGGAUGACGGCCUUCGGGUUGUAAACCGCUUUCGCCUGUGACGAAGCGUGAGUGACGGUAAUGGGUAAAGAAGCACCGGCUAACUACGUGCCAGCAGCCGCGGUGAUACGUAGGGUGCGAGCGUUGUCCGGAUUUAUUGGGCGUAAAGGGCUCGUAGGUGGUUGAUCGCGUCGGAAGUGUAAUCUUGGGGCUUAACCCUGAGCGUGCUUUCGAUACGGGUUGACUUGAGGAAGGUAGGGGAGAAUGGAAUUCCUGGUGGAGCGGUGGAAUGCGCAGAUAUCAGGAGGAACACCAGUGGCGAAGGCGGUUCUCUGGGCCUUUCCUGACGCUGAGGAGCGAAAGCGUGGGGAGCGAACAGGCUUAGAUACCCUGGUAGUCCACGCUGUAAACGGUGGGUACUAGGUGUGGGGUCCAUUCCACGGGUUCCGUGCCGUAGCUAACGCUUUAAGUACCCCGCCUGGGGAGUACGGCCGCAAGGCUAAAACUCAAAGGAAUUGACGGGGCCCCGCACAAGCGGCGGAGCAUGCGGAUUAAUUCGAUGCAACGCGUAGAACCUUACCUGGGUUUGACAUGGAUCGGGAGCGCUCAGAGAUGGGUGUGCCUCUUUUGGGGUCGGUUCACAGGUGGUGCAUGGCUGUCGUCAGCUCGUGUCGUGAGAUGCUGGGUUAAGUCCCGCAACGAGCGCAACCCUUGUUCACUGUUGCCAGCACGUUAUGGUGGGGACUCAGUGGAGACCGCCGGGGUCAACUCGGAGGAAGGUGGGGAUGACGUCAAGUCAUCAUGCCCCUUAUGUCCAGGGCUUCACGCAUGCUACAAUGGCUGGUACAGAGAGUGGCGAGCCUGUGAGGGUGAGCGAAUCUCGGAAAGCCGGUCUCAGUUCGGAUUGGGGUCUGCAACUCGACCUCAUGAAGUCGGAGUCGCUAGUAAUCGCAGAUCAGCAACGCUGCGGUGAAUACGUUCCCGGGGCU
rnacentral:rRNA from 1 species